GGUAUGGGAUGAGCUUGCGUCCGAUUAGCUAGUUGGCGGGGCAACGGCCCACCAAGGCGACGAUCGGUAGCCGGCCUGAGAGGGUGAUCGGCCACAUUGGGACUGAGAUAUGGCCCAGACUCCUACGGGAGGCAGCAGUAGGGAAUAUUGCACAAUGGGGGAAACCCUGAUGCAGCAACGCCACGUGUGGGAAGAAGCAUUUCGGUGUGUAAACCACUGUCAUGAGGGAAUAAGGCCCGCCUUCGGACGGGAUUGAAUGUACCUUGAGAGGAAGCACCGGCAAACUUCGUGCCAGCAGCCGCGGUAAUACGAGGGGUGCAAGCGUUGUUCGGAAUUACUGGGCGUAAAGGGAGCGUAGGCGGAGAUUCAAGCGGAUUGUACAAUCCCGGGGCCCAACCCCGGCUCUGCAGUCCGAACUGGAUCUCUUGGAUAGUUCAGGGGCAGGC
rnacentral:rRNA from 1 species